UCGGACAAGCGAUUGUAAUGGAAAUCCUUUUUUAUUUUUUUGAAAGGCAAAAGCGCAGGCAAAAUAAAAAAGAUUGAAAUGGAAAGCGCGGUCUCGU
rnacentral:sRNA from 1 species